GAUGAACGCUGGCGGCGUGCUUAACACAUGCAAGUCGAACGGAAAGGCCGAAGCUUGCUUCGGUACUCGAGUGGCGAACGGGUGAGUAACACGUGGGUGAUCUGCCCUGUACUUCGGGAUAAGCUUGGGAAACUGGGUCUAAUACCGGAUAUGACGAUCUCUUGGAUGGGGUUGUGGAAAGCUUUUGCGGUAUGGGAUGAGCUCGCGGCCUAUCAGCUUGUUGGUGGGGUAAUGGCCUACCAAGGCGUCGACGGGUAGCCGGCCUGAGAGGGUGUACGGCCACAUUGGGACUGAGAUACGGCCCAGACUCCUACGGGAGGCAGCAGUGGGGAAUAUUGCACAAUGGGCGCAAGCCUGAUGCAGCGACGCCGCGUGGGGGAUGACGGCCUUCGGGUUGUAAACUCCUUUCGCAAUCGACGAAGCCUUUUGGUGACGGUAGGUUGAGAAGAAGCACCGGCUAACCACGUG
rnacentral:rRNA from 1 species